rfam:Selaginella moellendorffii unplaced genomic scaffold SELMOscaffold_9, whole genome shotgun sequence.
GAUUAUAAGCAACCAAAGGGAACGACGAUAGUUGGAGUUAAGCGUCCUUGGGUUUGAAUAGUACUGGGCUGGGUGACCUCCCGGGAAGUCCAAACUUAGGAGCU